UACAGAGGGUGCAAGCGUUAAUCGGAAUUACUGGGCGUAAAGGGCGCGUAGGUGGUUGGAUAAGUUAGCUGUGAAAUCCCUGGGCUUAACCUAGGAAUUGCAGCUAAGACUGUUCGGCUAGAGUACGGUAGAGGGAAGUGGAAUUUCCGGUGUAGCGGUGAAAUGCGUAGAUAUCGGAAGGAACACCAGUGGCGAAGGCGGCUUCCUGGACUGAUACUGACACUGAGGCGCGAGAGCGUGGGGAGCAAACAGG
rnacentral:rRNA from 1 species